CCUACGGGAGGCAGCAGUGGGGGAUAUUGCACAAUGGGGGAAACCCUGAUGCAGCGACGCCGCGUGUGGGAAGACGGUCCUCUGGAGUGUAAACCACUGUCCCCAGGGACGAAGAUGACGGUACCUGGGGAGGCAGCUCCGGCUAACCACGUGCCAGCAGCUGAGGUCAUACGUAGGGAGCGAGGGAUGUCCGGAAUUACUGGGUGUACAGGGAGCGUAGGCGGGGAUGCAAGUGGGGUGUAAAAACUACCGGCUCAACGGGGAGUCGCACUCAAAACUGCAGCUCUGGAGUGAAGUAGAGGCAGGCGGAAUUCCUAGUGUAGCGGUGAAAUGCGUAGAUAUUAGGAGGAACACCAGUGGCGAAGGCGGCCUGCUGGGCUUUGACUGACGCUGAGGCUCGAAAGUGUGGGGAGCAAACAGGAUUAGAUACCCGAGUAGUC
rnacentral:rRNA from 1 species